GAUCCUGGCUCAGAUUGAACGCUGGCGGCAGGCUUAACACAUGCAAGUCGAACGGUAGCAGGAGGAAGCUUGCUUUCUUGCUGACGAGUGGCGGACGGGUGAGUAAUGCUUGGGAAUCUGGCUUAUGGAGGGGGAUAACGACGGGAAACUGUCGCUAAUACCGCGUAGUGUCGAGAGACGAAAGUGCGGGACUGUAAAGCCGCAUGCCAUAAGAUGAGCCCAAGUGGGAUUAGGUAGUUGGG
rnacentral:rRNA from 1 species